AAGUCGAGCGAAGCACUUUGCUUGGAUUUCUUCGGGAUGAAGAGCUUGGUGACUGAGCGGCGGACGGGAGAGUAACGCGUGGGUAACCUGCCUCAUACAGGGGGAUAACAGUUAGAAAUGACUGCUAAUACCGCAUAAGACCACAGCACCGCAUGGUGCAGGGGUAAAAACUCCGGUGGUAUGAGAUGGAUCCGCGUCUGAUUAGUUAGUUGGUGGGGUAACGGCCUACCAAGGCGACGAUCAGUAGCCGACCUGAGAGGGUGACCGGCCACAUUGGGACUGAGACACGGCCCAAACUCCUACGGGAGGCAGCAGUGGGGAAUAUUGCACAAUGGGGGAAACCCUGAUGCAGCGACGCCGCGUGAGCGAAGAAGUAUUUCGGUAUGUAAAGCUCUAUCAGCAGGGAAGAAAAUGACGGUACCUGACUAAGAAGCCCCAGCUAACUACGUGCCAGCAGCCGCGGUAAUACGUAGGGGGCAAGCGUUAUCCGGAUUUACUGGGUGUAAAGGGAGCGUAGACGGAGCAGCAAGUCUGAUGUGAAAACCCGGGGCUCAACCCCGGGACUGCAUUGGAAACUGUUGAUCUGGAGUGCCGGAGAGGUAAGCGGAAUUCCUAGUGUAGCGGUGAAAUGCGUAGAUAUUAGGAGGAACACCAGUGGCG
rnacentral:rRNA from 1 species